CGGCGCUCGGUGUCGCCGGCGACAGAGGAAAAUGGAAGAGCGAGGACUUCCAGGGUUGGAUGUGUGUUUAUGAGAGCGCUCUUGGCAGAAAGGACCCGGUCCAGAAAUACGGCACAGGAGUGGAAUGUGGUACAGCGGGGAAUAUCCUGAGUCAAACACAAGGCAGUCCAGGGGUCUGAGGAGGAGCAGUCGUGUUGUGCCGCCUGUGUGAUCCACUCAGUGAGCCUGUCACAGCAUCACCAGCAUUCCCCUCGUGUGUUUCUCGUACAAGUAUCCCAACCAGUUUGCCUGUUUUGUAUAAGAUUGUGUGCGUAAGAUUUGAGAUUGACGUGCAACAGUUGAGUAUGAGCUGAGACCCGGCUGGCUCGGUCAACCCGUGCUCUCCUUCUCCCCCCUCGCACUCGCUGUCUGUUUUGUCUCACUCUCUUUGUCUUUGCCGUUUUUUUCUACUGCUCCGUCUCUGCCAGACCUCUACUUUACACUCCCCCCUCCUCCCGCGCCUCCUCCUUGAAACCAAUUCCUUGGCAACCAGUUGCAGCGUCUCCCUGAAAAGGUAGACAGCCUCUCUGCGGUGCCACAGCAACCCAACGCAACAUCAGACAGCGAGGCAUGCUACAUUAUUAACCAAGAGGCGCUGUCAAGGACGGCGCUGUGUGGACACGAGGGAGGGAUCGACGGAGGAGGAGAAUCACGGGGGUUACUGGUCCCCAACUGCUGGUUGUUGCAUUAUAAACUGCAGAGGGGGGGAAACAUGAGCAUGCAUAUGAGCACAGAGUAAAGCGCAUGCAAACAGCGUGAGCAUAGAGAGACAGAGAGCGGUUACAUUCAGCCAAAUCCACAGGGGGAUCAAUAAGGAACAUCUGGGUCUGGGGUGGACAGGGUGUGAGUUUUUUCCUUUUUUUUCACAGUCAGUACAUUGGCCUGACA
ensembl:lncRNA